GUGGAUUUUUAGCCCUGGUAGGGUAGCUUCCCGGAAACGAAAGUCUUCCGGUUCCGGGGGAAGUAUGGUUGCAAAGCUGAAACUUAAAGGAAUUGACGGAAGGGCACCACCAGGAGUGGAGCCUGCGGCUUAAUUUGACUCAACACGGGGAAACUCACCCGGCCCGGACACCGUAAGGAUUGACAGAUUGAUAGCUCUUUCAUGAUUCGGUGGUUGGUGGUGCAUGGCCGUUCUUAGUUCGUGGAUCGAUUUGUCUGGUUUAUUCCGAUAACGAGCGAGACUCUAGCCUACUAAAUAGUAACGAGAUUAUCAAUGUCUCAGUUGCUUCUUAGAGGGAUUUUCGGUGUUUAGCCGCACGAGAUUGAGCAAUAACAGGUCUGUGAUGCCCUUAGAUGUCCGGGGCUGCACGCGCGCUACACUGGCGAAAUCAGCGUGCUGUAUCCAUUCUCGAAAGGGAUUGGUAAACCCAUGAAAAUUUGCCGUGCUUGGGAUCGGAAAUUGCAAUUAUUUUCCGUGAACGAGGAAUUCCAAGUAAGUGCGAGUCAUCA
rnacentral:rRNA from 1 species